UAGUGAUUAACGCGAAGAACCUUACCUGGGCUCGAACGGCUAGUGACAGGUGGCGAAAGUCGCUUUUCCCGCAAGGGACAUUAGUCGAGGUGCUGCAUGGCUGACGUCAGCUCGUGUCGUGAGAUGUUGGGUUAAGUCCCGCAACGAGCGCAACCCCUGCCUUUAGUUGCCACCAGAUUAUGCUGAGCACUCUAAAGGGACUGCCGGUGAAAAACCGGAGGAAGGUGGGGAUGACGUCAAGUCCUCAUGGCCUUUAUGUCCAGGGCUACACACGUACUACAAUGGACGGCACAAUGAGUCGCAAACCCGCGAGGGGGAGCCAAUCUCAAAAAACCGUUCUCAGUUCGGAUUGCAGUCUGCAACUCGACUGCAUGAAGCUGGAAUCGCUAGUAAUCGCUGAUCAGCAAGCAGCGGUGAAUACGUUCCCGGGCCUUGUCACACCCGAAUCGAAUUC
rnacentral:rRNA from 1 species